GACGAACGCUGGCGGCGUGCCUAAUACAUGCAAGUUGAGCGCUGAAGGUUGGUCCUUGUACCAACUGGAUGAGCAGCGAACGGGUGAGUAACGCGUGGGGAAUCUGCCUUUGAGCGGGGGACAACAUUUGGAAACGAAUGCUAAUACCGCAUAAAAACUUUAAACACAAGUUUUAAGUUUGAAAGAUGCAAUUGCAUCACUCAAAGAUGAUCCCGCGUUGUAUUAGCUAGUUGGUGAGGUAAAGGCUCACCAAGGCGAUGAUACAUAGCCGACCUGAGAGGGUGAUCGGCCACAUUGGGACUGAGACACGGCCCAAACUCCUACGGGAGGCAGCAGUAGGGAAUCUUCGGCAAUAGACGAAAGUCUGACCGAGCAACGCCGCGUGAGUGAAGAAGGGUUUCGGAUCGUAAAACUCUGUUGGUAGAGAAGAACGUUGGUGAGAGUGGAAAGCUCAUCAAGUGACGGUAACUACCCAGAAAGGGACGGCUAACUACGUG
rnacentral:rRNA from 1 species